AGCGAACGCUGGCGGCAGGCCUAACACAUGCAAGUCGAACGAACCUUUCGGGGUUAGUGGCGGACGGGUGAGUAACACGUGGGAACGUGCCUUUAGGUUCGGAAUAACUCAGGGAAACUUGUGCUAAUACCGAAUGUGCCCUUCGGGGGAAAGAUUUAUCGCCUUUAGAGCGGCCCGCGUCUGAUUAGCUAGUUGGUUGAGGUAAUGGCUCACCAAGGCGACGAUCAGUAGCUGGUCUGAGAGGAUGAUCAGCCACAUUGGGACUGGGACACGGCCCAAACUCCUGCGGGAGGCAGGAGUGGGGGAUCUUGCGAAAUGGGGGAAAGGCUGACGGAGCCAUGCCGGGUGAAUGAUGAAGGUCUUAGGAUUGUAAAAUUCUUUCACCGGGGACGAUAAUGACGGUACCCGGAGAAGAAGCCCCGGCUAACUUCGUG
rnacentral:rRNA from 1 species